GGUUUUGUAGCAUAAUGGUGAUUGCGUGAGAUUGCAAAUCCUGUAAUCUCAGUUUAAGUCUGAGCGGAGCCU
rnacentral:tRNA from 1 species